rnacentral:rRNA from 1 species
CCUACGGGAGGCAGCAGUGGGGAAUAUUGGGCAAUGGGCGCAAGCCUGACCCAGCAAUGCCGCGUGAAGGAAGAAGGCUUUCGGGUUGUAAACUUCUUUGACAGGGGAAGAGCAGAAGACGGUACCCUGAAAACAAGCCACGGCCAACUACGUGCCAGCAGCCGCGGUAAUACGUAGGUGGCAAGCGUUGUCCGGAUUUACUGGGUGUAAAGGGCGUGUAGCCGGGAAGGCAAGUCAGAUGUGAAAUCUGGAGGCUCAACCUCCAAAGUGCAUUUGAAACUGUUUUUCUUGAGUACUGGAGAGGCAGACGGAAUUCCUUGUGUAGCGGUGAAAUGCGUAGAUAUAAGGAGGAACACCAGUGGCGAAGGCGGUCUGCUGGACAGCAACUGACGGUGAGGCGCGAAAGCGUGGGGAGCAAACAGGAUUAGAUACCCUAGUAGUC